GGGAAUGGUCGCUUGGCUUAACCAUUGCAAGUCGAGCGGUAGCACAAGAGAGUUUUGCUCUCUGGGUGACGAGCGGCGGACGGGUGAGUAAUGUCUGGGAAACUGCCUGAUGGAGGGGGAUAACUCCUGGAAACGGUAGCUAAUACCGCAUAACGUCGCAAGACCAAAGAGGGGGACCUUCGGGCCUCUUGCCAUCAGAUGUGCCCAGAUGGGAUUAGCUAGUAGGUGGGGUAAUGGCUCACCUAGGCGACGAUCCCUAGCUGGUCUGAGAGGAUGACCAGCCACACUGGAACUGAGACACGGUCCAGACUCCUACCGGGAGGCAGCAGUGGGGGAAUAUUGCACAAUGGGCGCAAGCCUGAUGCAGCCAUGCCGCGUGUGUGAAGAAGGCCUUCGGGUUGUAAAGCACUUUCAGCGAGGAGGAAGGUGGUGAGCUUAAUACGCUCAUCAAUUGACGUUACUCGCAGAAGAAGCACCGGCUAACUCCGUGCCAGCAGCCGCGGUAAUACGGAGGGUGCAAGCGUUAAUCGGAAUUACUGGGCGUAAAGCGCACGCAGGCGGUUUGUUAAGUCAGAUGUGAAAUCCCCGGGCUCAACCUGGGAACUGCAUUUGAAACUGGCAAGCUAGAGUCUCGUAGAGGGGGGUAGAAUUCCAGGUGUAGCGGUGAAAUGCGUAGAGAUCUGGAGGAAUACCGGUGGCGAAGGCGGCCCCCCUGGACGAAGACUGACGCUCAGGUGCGAAAGCGUGGGGAGCAAACAGGAUUAGAUACCCUGGUAGUCCACGCUGUAAACGAUGUCGAUUUGGAGGUUGUGCCCUUGAGGCGUGGCUUCCGGAGCUAACGCGUUAAAUCGACCGCCUGGGGAGUACGGCCCGCAAGGUUAAAACUCAAAUGAAUUGACGGGGGCCCGCACAAGCGGUGGAGCAUGUGGUUUAAUUCGAUGCAACGCGAAGAACCUUACCUACUCUUGACAUCCAGAGAACUUUCCAGAGAUGGAUUGGUGCCUUCGGGAACUCUGAGACAGGUGCUGCAUGGCUGUUCGUCAGCUCGUGUUGUGAAAUGUUGGGUUAAGUCCCCGCAACGAGCCGCAACCCUUUAAUCCUUUGUUUGCCAGCGGUUCCGGCGCGGGAACCUCCAAAGGAGACUUGCCAGUGAUAAACCUGGAGGAAGGUGGGGAUGACGUCAAGUCAUCAUGGCCCUUACGAGUAGGGCUACACACGUGCUACAAUGGCAUAUACAAAGAGAAGCGACCUCGCGAGAGCAAGCGGACCUCAUAAAGUAUGUCGUAGUCCGGAUUGGAGUCUGCAACUCGACUCCAUGAAGUCGGAAUCGCUAGUAAUCGUAGAUCAGAAUGCUACGGUGAAUACGUUCCCGGGCCUUGUACACACCGCCCGUCACACCAUGGGAGUGGGUUGCAAAAGAAGUAGGUAGCUUAACCUUCGGGAGGGCGCUACCACUUUGAUUGAAGGU
rnacentral:rRNA from 1 species